GAUUCAGUCAUUCCUGGUAGGUGUUUCGUACAUUUGUAUAGGAUUUAGGGACGAUGCAGGCCGUCUCGUUCGCACAGAAAUGCUUAGAACCAAAGAUAUCACGCAGAGAGUAAAAAUGAAGAACUAUUGGCAGGGAGGAGUCUGCCUGGCGUUUGCGGAUGAGGUAUUAUGCUGGCUUUAUGGAACAGUCAAAGAAAAUGAAGAUUACACGUUGCAGUUCGCUCCACCUUUCCACCGUUUGGAGCUUCUGCAAGCACAGUCUUGCCCAGA